CACGCACACACACACACACACACACACACACACACACACACACACACACACACACACACACACACACACACACACACACACACACACACACACACACACACACACACACACAGAAACAUGUCUUCAAUGACAAAAAAAUGUGAUUGAUUGUAGAUCAAAGCAACCUUCUUAAAGAAUAGCAACCCUCCAUUCUGCUGCUAAUCACAAACUGAUUGAUUAUGUCAGGAAACCUUCAGUGAUGUCCGAGAGGAGAUUAACAUGAGCUAAUCACAUGCUUUAACCAAAGAGCAACAAUUCAUCUGUGAGAGGGAAUACAAUCCAUCACCUAAAAACCAGUCCCGCCCACUAAGGACACACACACACAUAUAUAUAACAGGACUGUCAACAACAGUCUGUGUCAACAUUUGAACAAGAGAAGCACGUAAAACCCUCGACUUCUGUUUUUUAAAUCAAAAUUAUAUUUCUCUUGAUUUUUGGAGUUUAAAGGUUUUUUAAAUUGGAGGAACAAUGGGAAACGAGAACUCGAAAAACGAAGACCAAACCGAGGAUGUGAAUAUUUCAGAGAAGCAUCAGAACGGAUCAGUGAGCGGCAGCGUCACGCUGAACGGCGGGCCGGAAAUCGACGGUAAAGAUCCAGCUGUGGUCAAACAGAACGAAGAACCCGUGACUUUAAACCUCGCCAUCGACUCAACUGAAUGUGUGGUCAUCGACUCAGAGGCCCCGCCCAACACUGCUCCAGUCUCGUCUGAAAUCUCCGCCCCUCCUGAAACACCAGAGGUCACCAAGGAGCUCCUCGUUAGUGUCCAGGUUCCCCCACAAACCCCCGAUCCCCCCAAACAGAAGGAGGAAGUCCCAAAGAAAAAGUUUUUUGGUAAAAUGUUCAAAAAGAAAGUGGAAGCAGUAGUAGACGAGCCGAGUGUGGAGGAAACGACCAUCAGUGGAGACCAGGUGGAUGCUGGUCAGACCAUCAUUACCACACAACCAGAGGCUAGAGACCCCCACCAGGACCCCUCUCAGCCACCAACGGGACCAGUAGUCAGUGUGAUUUUUAACGGGGGUCCAGACCUUCAAAGUUCUCCUGAAGUCGACAUUGGAACCAGUGUCACAGAGGAGGGGCCGGAGAAGAGAGAGGAAGAGGAGAGAAACCAAGAGGAAAAACCACCAGUUAUGAACUUCUUUAAAUCUCUGGUGAAUAACACAAAAACAUCCAAAAAGGAAACAGCCACCCCUGAUGUAGCAAAAGAUCAGUCCCAGAAGGAGAGCCAAGCAGCACCAACAACCACCGUUGCAGAGGUAUCCGAGCCGCCCACACCACCCAAAGGAAUGUCAAUCCCUCCACCACCUCCACCAGCUCCACCAAAGCUGGAAAUCAAAGAACCAGCGGCUAAAUGUUUGAAACCAACAACCAAAGAAGAACCAACUGCUGCGAAGAAACCAGAGUCCUCGCCUGGAAAAUCAGCUUUGAGCAAAUUCUUCCGUCCAAAGACCAUCAAAGAGGCCCCGCAGCCAGAGGUAGAGGUUACACCAGUAAUAGAGGAAACACCAGUGGAGGUGUCUGAGCCUGUGUUAGCGGUGCAGCAGAGCGACGAUAAGCUCCAUCUUCAGGAGGAGACAGCCGAGGAAAUACUUGUAACCCUGGAGCAGGUGGUUGAAGAUGUGCAGACGAUGAUUGAAGAUGAGAAGGUGGACCCUCCCAAAGCUGGCACUGUGGAGGCUGCAACGAAACCAGAACCGCCAGCAGCGGGUCAGGAAGAGAAGAAGACUGGCUCCAAAUUAGGCUUCAAGUCCCUCUUCAAGUCCAAAGGUGCGUCACCAAAGACAGCGUCUCCGACCCCCCCCACCUCACCAGCAGCACCAGCAGCUCCAGUUAAACCCAAGGAUGAAACCAAGUCUGCAGACACGGCUGCUGAUAGCAAAGCUGCGGCUGGGGCUGCUUCAGCGGCCGGAGACGACGCAGCCAAGGGCCUGAAAAAAGUGGAGAAGAGGAACUCCAUCACAGGGUUCUUUAAAAACCUGGUGAAGUGAAGGUUCAGAAACAUUCAGACUCCGGGGGUCAGACGGAGUAAACGCCCGCGGAGAAAACAAAAUUAAAAAAAACCAUCGCCACCAAACCCUCAAGCUUCAACGUACUCAACUCUACAAUUCCUCUGCACUCUACACUAUAUCUGCUCGGAUCAUGAAGAAAAAAGCUAUUUAAUGUAAAAUGUAAAACUGCAAACACAAGUUUUUGAUUAGAAACGCAUGAAGAGGUAAAAAGUGUCUUCUGUUAGUUUUAUAAUACAAUAAACUGGGCUUGUGGUUGUAAACA
ensembl:lncRNA proteoglycan 4-like